GCAACACUUCCUGUGAUUAUCGUGAUCAUUUCCUGCAGCAACAUGCUCGUGCUGCGGUUCAGUCUCAACGAUGAAGGUUUAGGAGUGAACUGUAAAACUCGUGCUUCUGGUGUCUGUGCAGACCAAUCAUGAGAUAAACACGGGGGUCAGCUGACCCUCCUAGAACCACGUCUCAUUUUCUGUUAUUUUCCGCUGCAUCAGUGCAAGUUUACAGAAACUCGGACCUCCUCUCAGCAUCAGUGACAUGGAUCAGAGAGCAGAAACCAGCACUGGUGCAUUGUGGGUAAACUUUCAGGUGUCUGCUCAGAGCAGGUGAGAGCAGGUGCUGUUUGAGGCUCAUGAUAGCUGGGAUGUUAACGUCCAUACUGAUGAUGGCUCUGACCUCUGCUGGGAGUUUUAUGAGAGUCAUGGACACGUUUCGUUUUUACCAGCAUGUAUCUGGCUCAGCUCACGCCAAAGGGCACUCUGGACCUUGUUCUCAGGACAUUUUUACUUCGGACCAGCGCUGUGUUAUUUUUAUUUAUCUGUAUCUUUGGCGAGCUUAGUGGUACCAUCUCUGUUACCUACACCAGCAGAUCAAAAAUGUCCCACAGAGCAUCACCCCCAGUGUGCUCACUGUCGUUUCCUGGCCUCUGGCAAAGUAGCUGCUUCAAAAAUGGUGUCAUCCACCCACUUUUGAAAAAGGAACAUUUGGAUCCUCCUCUGAUUGGCAGUUAUAGACCCACCUCCAAGUUGCCACUUACUGCUAAGAUCUUAGAGAAGCCUGCGGCCCUCCCUGAGACCUCACUGAGUCAGCUCUGAGAGCAUCAAAUGAUGAUGCAGAAUGACGACGGUUGCUGUUCUGUGUUGGAGCUCAUCUUUUCAUUCUGCUCAACAGGUGCUGGGUUGGUGUAUCAGGAUCUGGCUUGGAGCGCUUCUCUUCGUACCUGUCUGACACCAACAAGCUCACCUGCUUGCUCAGGUGUCAGCAGGCUGGUGUAGUGUGGGGAGUAGUGAGUGCGACAGCUGAGCCUGAGCCAGCACAACAACCAGAAACAACCAGCAACCAAGUCUCGUAGGCUCAGACGACUGCUGCUGCAGCACAGGAGGAGGGGCCACAGCCCAACAACAGCGUGAGGAAGAGACGAGGACGGUGAAAUUAACGUGGUAAGAAAACAGAUCACAGGUGUCGAACUCCAGGCCUCGAGGGCCACUGUCCUGCUUGUUUUCCAACUAACCUGCCCUUGUAGCUUCUUACUGGCAAAGCACACCUGAUCCAGGUAAUCAGCAUCAGGUUGGGCAGGGAUAUCUCAAAGCCAAGCAGGAUGCUGGCCCUCGAGGACUGAGGUUUGACAGCCCUGAAGCAGAUGUAGGGACAUAAUUAGGAAGGAAGAGACUCAAAGACUCAAGUAAAAUAAACGGCCACUCGACUACGACUAACAGCUAACUGCUAACAACUGUUGAUGGUCACCAGUGAUGGGAAUAACGGCGUUAGUUUUUUCAGUAACGAGUAAUCUAACUAAUAACUAUUCCUAUCGUUGCAACGCCGUCACCGUUACUAACAAGAUAAUGCGGUGCGGUCGCGUUACUGUUUUUCAACAGACGGUUGAAGCUGUCUUCAGCUUAUCGCACCUUAUAUCAGUUGCACGGAGUAAUCUGGGCGCUACAGCUUUAAGCAGCUGCGCGCUCCCGCGGACGGCGAUCACUUUCUGCCCGAUGAUCAGUGUCUAGCACAACACCUGGAGCUCAGGGGGCAAAACAAUGGCAUGAGUGCUGCUGUUUGACUGAGCAAGAGUAAAGGAGUCGUGGUAAGACAAUCACAUGACCACUUACAGACAAAGCAACAAGGUGACAUAUACCAGUUUUUAAAUUGUGUUGAUAGGCCAUGUAAAACAGAGUCAUGCUAAUCUGGCGACACUCUCGAUGGAGGACAUUGAACGACAUCUACCAAUUCAGAACCACGAUAACGGAGUUCUGGCUGAUUGGAGCCGGCUUAUUGAAGCACAGGACGCAGCUACAGCUGUUCAAAAUCCCAUAAGGCUGGCCGGCAUGAUGGACGAUGUUUUGAAAGCAAUAUGGAUAACAUGUUGGAGAAGAACGGGAAUUGAGAGACCUGGUGACCUGUGACGGACAUUAGACCAACUGUAAAAAUUGGAUGCAGUUGUUGGCACUAAACCCAAACGUUCACCAUCUUCACUCAUGUGGCCAUCCCACUGGCACCAGCUGAAGGCUGCCGAGGUCGAAGCUGGCAACAAAUUCUUCCAUGGUAACAGGAUUGUUGUCUUUGUCCCUCCUUCAAGGCCGCCCACGCUGAUCGAAGAGUGUUGACUUUUGCUUAACCGGGUGAAGGGACACUCUCUCUCGGUUGAACAUGGCACACACACACACACACACACACACACACACACACACACUCACUCACACACACACACACACACACACACACAGACACUCUCACACACACACACACACACACAGACACUCACACACACACACACACACACACACACACACACACACACACGCACACAGACACUCUCACACACACACACACACACACAGACACUCUCUCACACACACACACACACACACACACACUCACAC
ensembl:lncRNA